UACGUAGGGUGCGAGCGUUGUCCGGAAUUACUGGGCGUAAAGAGCUCGUAGGCGGCUUGUCGCGUUGUCCGUGAAAAUUUACCGCUCAGCGGUGAACUUGCGGGCGAUACGGGCAGGCUAGAGUACUGCAGGGGAGACUGGAAUUCCUGGUGUAGCGGUGAAAUGCGCAGAUAUCAGGAGGAGCACCGGUGGCGAAGGCGGGUCUCUGGGCAGUAACUGACGCUGAGGAGCGAAAGCGUGGGGAGCAAACAGG
rnacentral:rRNA from 1 species